rnacentral:rRNA from 1 species
GACGAACGCUGGCGGCGUGCUUAACACAUGCAAGUCGAACGGAAAGGCCCUGCUUUUGUGGGGUGCUCGAGUGGCGAACGGGUGAGUAACACGUGAGUAACCUGCCCUUGACUUUGGGAUAACUUCAGGAAACUGGGGCUAAUACCGGAUAGGAGCUCCUGCUGCAUGGUGGGGGUUGGAAAGUUUCGGCGGUUGGGGAUGGACUCGCGGCUUAUCAGCUUGUUGGUGGGGUAGUGGCUUACCAAGGCUUUGACGGGUAGCCGGCCUGAGAGGGUGACCGGCCACAUUGGGACUGAGAUACGGCCCAGACUACUACGGGAGGCAGCAGUGGGGAAUAUUGCACAAUGGGCGGAAGCCUGAUGCAGCAACGCCGCGUGCGGGAUGACGGCCUUCGGGUGGUAAACCGCUUUCGCCUGUGACGAAGCGUGAGUGACGGUAAUGGGUAAAGAAACACCGGCUAACUACGU